rfam:Ixodes scapularis strain Wikel colony gcontig_1107728862926, whole genome shotgun sequence.
CCCUGGUUAGCUCAGCUGGUAGAGCGCUUCACCUGUAAUGGAGAGGUCCCGGGUUCGAUACCCGGACCAGGCG